GACGAACGCUGGCGGCGUGCUUAACACAUGCAAGUCGAACGGAAAGACCCUGCUUUUGCUGGGUGCACGAGUGGCGAACGGGUGAGUAACACGUGAGUAACCUGUCCUUGACUUUGGGAUAACUUCAGGAAAAUGGGGCUAAUACCGGAUAGGAGCUCCUGCUGCACGGGGGGGGAUGGAAAGAUUCGGCGGUUUGGGAUGGACUCGCGGCUUAUCAGCUUGUUGGUGGGGUAGGGGCUUACAAAGGCUUUGACGGGUAGCCGGCCUGGGAGGUUGACCGGCCACAUUGGGACUGAGAUACGGCCCAGUCUCCUACGGUAGGCAGCAGGCGGGAAUAUUGCGGAGUGGGCGGAAGCCUGAUGCAGCAACGCCGCGUGCGGGAAGACGGCCUUCGGGUUGUGAACCGCUUUCGCCGGUGACGAAGCGGGAGUGACGGUAAUGGGUAAAGAAGCACCGGCUAACUACGUG
rnacentral:rRNA from 1 species